GACGUAGGUGGCGAACGUUAUCCGGAAUUAUUGGGCGUAAAGGGUGCGUAGAUGGCCUGAUAAGUUAGCAGUGGGAAAUCGAGGCUCAACCUCGUGGAAGCUGGUAAUACUGUCAAGCUCGAGUGCAGGAGAGGUUAACGGAACUCCAUGUGGAGCGGUAAAAUGUGUAGAUAUAUGGAAGAACACCAAUAACGGCGAAGGCAGUUAACUAUUCUGUUACUGACAUUGAGGCACGAAAGCGUGGGGAGCAAACAGG
rnacentral:rRNA from 1 species